GCGGGCUGCUGAGGGGGAGAGGGCGGCGGGGGCCGGCGGGUCUGUGAACGAGGCCUUUGAACGGGCGGGGUCGCUCGGUCGUUAGUCCUAUCCGCUCCCGUGACAGACACCCCCCCGGCAGAGGCUGCUGUGUGGGCCGCCGGGGCCUGCAUGCCCAGGCUGUUCUGGGCCUGAACCCUUCACAAGGCUUUCUAGGCACGGGGAAUGAUCUCUCCCAAGGACACGCAGAGGAUUCCCGUGAGGCCUGUGGAAGAAAAACAGAAAUAUUAUUGAAGUCAAGGCGACAUUGAUGGGUGCUGGAAGUGUUUGGUCUACGUGGCCAGUCAGGGCCCAGGCCUUGAGGCUGUGAAACAUUUGCGUCUUACCGGCCUUGGGCUCCAAAAUGGAGGACAAUUGACAGUUUCCUUUGAGAGGAGCUUGAGAAGAGAGCUCCUGCCGUGGUCCCUUACACACACCGUGGGCACAGAUUGCACCAAGUUUGGCUCCUGCGUUGCCCCAUCUGGGCUUGUACCCCCAAACACCCAUCUGCUAAACCUGAGCAACUGGGAAUACCAGCAAAAGAAAACCGUGUCCCUGCCUCGCCUCUGACUUCACGCCAAGAGAAACUCCUGACUGCUGCUUGUCCAAGCCCCUCCUCGGCUCUCGUCCCUCGCUCUCCUGCGCUGGCGCUCUGCGUGGACCGAGGCGAGUUUGCCAAGACCCGUCUUGUUCUCCAUGCCUGUGGCACAGGCUGGCUGAGGGGCGAGCGAGCUCCCCAUCAUCUUGUGCAGGGUCUGCUCCCUGCCAAGCCAUGCCUACCCAAGCUGGGAGCUCCCCAAACUGGGCCCGAGCGGCUCCUCCCCCGACGUAGGCAAGGUUACACCUCUCUUCCCUACGCCUGUCAGCGAACAGCUGGACUUCUCUGGUUACAUGUGUGCAACCAUUUAAAAAAAACAUCCAGGCUGGCUUACUCAGCAGAUUAUAAAAGAGUGAUUUACAAAAUGCAGCUUUCUUCCAGAUCAGCCCGUGCCGUUGUACUUAUGUGACCGAAGGUCUCAGCUGAUCCCUUCUUUUCUCGUGCAGCCAAGAGGUUUGCAGCAGCAGCAACAGCCACGGCCAGUACAAUACUGGCCAGGGAAGAAAUUUCACAAGUUACUGAAAUUGGCACAUUACCAUUUGGAAUGGCAUUUAUCAGCCUCUGGAGCUGAUGGUGACCCCUGCAGCUCUGCCAACAAGGGCAGAAGAACCUUAUUUCACCCAGGUUCUCCUCUUUGCUCCUGUAUGAGCUUCCCUACUUUACAGUUCAUCACAAGUUCGCCAACAUGUGUGAUGAUACAUCAGCCAAAACCAGGUCUGUGUUUUCCAGGACUCAGUGCCCAGCUAUAGCAGGAAGUGGAAAGAUUUUAGGAGGUUACAGGCCAAGGGAGAUCAGGAACUACUGAAGAUUUCUGCAUUUCAAAACACAAUUCUUCCCUUCCAAUUUGUCAUUUUUAGGCAUUAUAAACCACAGCUUGAAACUCUUUUGAAGGAGUUAUUGCGUGGAACAAAGAGAGGACAGGGUUAUUUCCAACCAUGGCUUCACAACUGGUAUCUGUAAUUCUUCCUCUAACUUGUCUGUUUGUCCAUCAAAGUGCAAAGUCCACCACAACGGUGGUCUCAUCAUUGUAAGGAUCAUCCAGAAGGGAAAGGAGUAUGGGAAAUGUGGAUACCAGGGAGAAGGAAAAGUUAAAUGUCUCUUCCUUCCUGCUCCCAAUGUGUGUUUCUAGCGAGAACAUUUUUCUCAGAGAGAUUAAAAUUUUGAAGACCUGUAUCCAGAAAUAUAUUUCAGGUUCUCACCAAGAAAUCACAUCACGGUGCGGUGUUCCCACACAGUGACAUUGCAUCAUAAUGAGGUAAUGUUGCAGCGCAGCCUCAGGUUAGCAUGAGGCAAUGUGAUGGCUUUGCAUAAUAAGGAAUCAGUGUUGGAACACUGUGACGCAAAUGUCAUGCCACAGUGAUGCAACAAGUUUGUUCAGUAGAGCAAAUCUUUGAAAUUGGCACCAAACCCAUGGUGGAAUUUUUGGCAGACUCUAUAAUUACUAGUAGGCUGGAAAAAAUUAAUGCCCUGCCAUUUAAAAAAUUUUAGUGGAUUUUUUUUUUUAAUUCCACUGCACAAAUAUAUCUAGCUGUCAAGGCCCGCCCUAAAGAUAAAGCCCUCCUGCUCAGAAAAUCAAAAUCUUCCACUGAAAAUACAAACACAGUGCUGUGGAGCCAAUGUCAAGUCAAGGCUAACACAAAGUAAACGUGGAAUUCACGUGUCACCUGUCCACCCACUGCCAAGUCUUAGCUCAGAACCAGUCUCUGUCAGAGGGAAAUUUUUAUGCCCGUGGCCACUUCAGAGAGAGAGGUUUCUCUUACGUGCCAUGCUGAUGGCAUAUGACUGUAUUUCUUAUAUGUACAGUGCAGUCUUUAUAGAAAAAUAUAAAAAACAUGUGCUUUCUGUAGCAAAUAAUUCUUGUGAUGCUUCUAACGCUAGACCAGAGUUUUACAGUAUGUCUGCACGGAACAGCUCUGAUGCACAAGAGCGGAGGCCUGUCAAACUACGGUUCAGUCCUUGUUUCUGCCCUUCCCAGAGCUCGAGGUUGUAAAAGCCCUUUUCUGGAAUACCUCCCCUUUACUGCGUACCCACUCACCUUUGCUUUCUGACACACUGGGGAGGUUGAGCCCAGGCUCUGUCCUACUUUCCCACACCUAAACCAAAUGCACAGGAAGUAUGGGCUGGGUGAUACCUGCUCUCCCAUUCUCACUCACACCCGCGAUGCAGAUGAGCACCGAGGAAGCUGCUGUGUCACCUUCUCAGCCUUGUACAAAAGCCAUGAACCCACUUUGGUUACUAUAGUAGUGUGUUCACACCAAAAAAAUGAAUAAUAGCUAGAACGACCCUCUUAAGCAGUACUCUUUCAUGGCUGCCUUUGGAUAGCUUUGCCUUUAAUGUGACUUGCUUUCUCUGUUUCUUGCUAUUUUAUAUCUACCUGUUAAACAGAGAUUCUCUCUUACAAAUAUGGCUUUUAGCAGUUCACAACAGGUUUCACCACUUAGGUUUGGUGGCUUCAUUUAUACAGACUUUUACCUUUCAAUGAAGGACUGGAGUAUUCUCUUUUAUUCUAUACACAUGAACAGAUAAAAGAUGAGUGUGUGUUCUGUACAAUUUUUCAGUGAUUAUGGUAAUUUUCCAUAAAGCCUUUUGUA